GAGUUUGAUCGUGGCUCAGAUUGAACGCUGGCGGCAUGCCUUACACAUGCAAGUCGAACGGCAGCACGGGAGCUUGCUCCUGGUGGCGAGUGGCGAACGGGUGAGUAAUGCAUCGGAACGUAUCCUGGAGUGGGGGAUAACGUAGCGAAAGUUACGCUAAUACCGCAUAUUCUGUGAGCAGGAAAGCGGGGGACCUUCGGGCCUCGCGCUCUUGGGGCGGCCGAUGUCGGAUUAGCUAGUUGGUGAGGUAAAGGCUCACCAAGGCGACGAUCCGUAGCAGGUCUGAGAGGAUGAUCUGCCACACUGGAACUGAGACACGGUCCAGACUCCUACGGGAGGCAGCAGUGGGGAAUUUUGGACAAUGGGGGCAACCCUGAUCCAGCCAUGCCGCGUGAGUGAAGAAGGCCUCGG
rnacentral:rRNA from 1 species